UACGUAGGGAGCGAGCGUUGUCCGGAAUUACUGGGCGUAAAGAGCUCGUAGGUGGUUUGUCGCGUUGUUCGUGAAAACUCACAGCUUAACUGUGGGCGUGCGGGCGAUACGGGCAGACUGGAGUACUGCAGGGGAGACUGGAAUUCCUGGUGUAGCGGUGGAAUGCGCAGAUAUCAGGAGGAACACCGGUGGCGAAGGCGGGUCUCUGGGCAGUAACUGACGCUGAGGCGCUAAAGCGUGGGGAGCGUACAGG
rnacentral:rRNA from 1 species